rnacentral:rRNA from 1 species
UUAAAUGGCCGCAGUAAUUUGACUGUGCAAAGGUAGCAUAAUCAUUAGUUUUUUAAUUGAAAGCUUGUAUGAAAGGUUGGACGAGGUAAAUACUGUCUUUAUUUAAAUUAAUAUAUAAUUUUAUUUUUAAGUAAAAAAGCUUAAAUAUAUAUAAAAGACGAGAAGACCCUAUAGAGUUUUAUAUUUUUAUAUAUUAUUUUAAUUAAGAUUAUUUUAUUUUUAAUAUAUUAAAAUAUUUUAUUGGGGUAAUAGUAAAAUUAAUCUAAUUUUUAUUUUUUAAUAACAUUGAUUUAUGAAUAGUUGAUCCUAUUAAUAUAGAUUAUAAGAUUAAAUUACCUUAGGGAUAACAGCGUAAUUUUUUUGGAGAGUUCUUAUCAAUAAAAAAGUUUGCGACCUCGAUGUUGGAUUAAAGAUUAUUUUAGGUGUAGAAGUUUAAAAUGUUAGUCUGUUCGACUAUUGAAUCUUUACAUGAUCUGAGUUCAGACCGGUGUAAGCCAGGUCGGUUUCUAUCUUUAUUAAUCUAAAAUAUUUUAGUACGAAAGGACCAAGUAUUUGAUAUAUUUAUAUUUAUUUUUUGAAUAUUAUUAUUACUUUGGCAGAAUAGUGUAAUGAAUUUAGAAUUCAUAAAUGUAGUUUUUACAAGUAAUAUUGUUUUAUAUAGAUUUAAUAUUUUCAUUAUUAUGUAUAUUAUUAUUAAUUAUUUGUGUUUUAGU